rnacentral:rRNA from 1 species
UACGUAGGGGGCAAGCGUUAUCCGGAUUUACUGGGUGUAAAGGGAGCGUAGACGGCAGAGCAAGUCUGUAGUGAAAGCCCGCGGCCCAACUGCGGGACUGCUUUGGAAACUGCCCGGCUAGGGUGCUGGAGAGGUAAGCGGAAUUCCUAGUGUAGCGGUGAAAUGCGUAGAUAUUAGGAGGAACACCAGUGGCGAAAGCGGCUUACUGGACAGUAACUGACGUUGAGGCUCGAAAGCGUGGGGAGCAAACAGG